CACGUCAAUCAAUGACUGGGGUACUGAUCCCACUGUCAAGCAAUAAGCCAUCAGCUAUUUUUCAUCAUUUUUUAUAUAUAUAUGGCCAUCAAGGCGUAGUAUCUGCACAGACUAUAGCGCUCAGCUCAUAUUGGUAUUUAAUAGGCAUCCUCCGAUGAUGCAGUUGCUGAAAUGCAAGAAUCUUGGAUGAAGAGGAAGAAGCUGAUCUCACAACAGGAAGUCAGCUCGACACAACAGCGCGCUGCAUCUCAAGGCUUCCUCUUCCGCAUCACUGAGCCAGAUAAAAACACUGAAUUCAGACACCGCCGACGCUGCCAUUUGCCCUCGCAACACACACACACACACACACCUGCCAGGACGUAACGUGCAGAAGGAAGACGCGGCCGCUGCUGUCCCCACUGGAGCAGAGAGGACGCCAGCCUUUGAUGUUCCACUCAAAAUUAUUAAUUCCCCGCGUCAGGUUCUGUGUUUCAUCUACAUUUAAAGUCCAAAUCUCGAGUCUGAGCAAAGCUUCUGUUAUGCAAAUCAGCAGCUAAUGUGCAUGCUGGGUUUGCUGGGGUUGUUUAAUGUAUUAUUUUUUGAGAAAAUUAAUGACAUCUGCGUCAGUUGAUAUUGAUCUAAAAUCUAGAUAGAUGUUCCCUGCUGCGCGUCAGAUGAGCUUCAUGUCUUAGUGUGGCCUUCAAAUCACUAGGACGAACGCCUGAGCACAUGUCUCAAAAACUAAAUGUUCUUUCAGAUUCUUUCACUAUUUACUCACCCUCAUGUUGUUAAAAACCCACAUUGCUUGACUUUCUUGUGUGGAACACAAAAUGAGAGCAGAAGUUUAGCAAAAGUUCACGCUGCUCUUUUCCAUAAAAGAUAAAGUCUUUCAUUGACGGUCUUUCCUUUUAAAGUUCUUAAAUCUCAUCACUCUUACAGUGAAUUCAAAGCAUCAUAAUGUGUUGUAUUGUGAUUGACCACAAGACUCGUUAAACCUGGGGAAACGCAUCUUGAAUAUCGGGAGGCUGUCCUCCUCCAAAAAAAUGACCCAAUAGGUCGUUUUUUCAAGCAUCUUAUUAUGACCUAUAUUUACGUUUUAAAGUCAUGCGCCCUCUAGCUGGCGUAAAAAUAAUGACAGUGUCGUGUUACGUCUGUCGUUCAUGAAAUGACGUAUGACCGUUGUUAACAAUCAAAAUGCGUGU